rnacentral:tRNA from 1 species
UAAGAUGAACCCUAAAAAGUUCUUU